GGAAGGAUCAUUAACACAUUGUCCAUUUGAAGAUGAGAUUUUCUUGUUGGAAUUUAACGAUUCUAAUGAAGAAACUCAUCUUUCAAACAUUUGCGAAACGUUGAAGUUAUCAACAAGUUUUUAAUUAAACUCUUUAGUUGAUUACUCGAGAAUUCACGUUCAAUAAAUGAUAGAAAUAUUGUUUAAUUGACUGUUGUUUUCGAACAAAACAAAAUAAUUAAAAAAUAACCAAGACAACUUGUGACAGUGGAUACCUUGGUUCCCAGGUCGAUGAAGAGCGCAGCGAACUGCGAUAAGUCAUGUGAAUUGCAGAAUUCCGUGAAUCAUCGAACUCUUGAACGCAAAUUGCACUUGGGUGUUGAGCUCAAGUGUGCCUGCUCGAGUGUCGGCAAUAAACUCUCACAUUAAAAUUGUGAUAUUGAGAGUUCAAAUUCUUUAAAUUUGAUCUCUUUAAAUGCAUGGAGCAUAAUUCAUUCAAUUGGUUGUUAUUUAACAAUCUUUUUUGAAUCGUUUAUGUCAAGCGAAUUAAGUAACUUUGUUGUUACCUUUUUCCUUGAUUAGAUUCUUAAAUAACUGUUAUUAUUAACAAUAUUUCAAAAAACAAUUGAAUUUAUUUGUAGUUCUCCUAGUUGAAGAACACCUUAGUGUGUUUGAAUACAAAUUUUAUAUAUCAAUUCUCGACCUCGAAUUAGGCAAGAUCACCCGGUGGACUUAAGCAUAUUAUUAACCGGAGGAAAAGAAACUAACUAGGAUGCCCUUAGUAACGGCGAGUGAAGCGGGCAAAGCUCAAAUUUAAAAUCCGAGUGUCUUCGGGCACUUUGAAUUGUAGUUUUUGGAUCGUUAGUCACGGGAUUAUUGAUGGUGGGUGUAAGUUCUUUGGAACGAGGCAUCAUAGAGGGUGAGAAUCCCGUAAUAUGACCCCUUCAAUAGUUCAAUACGUGUCUAGCUUUUCACGAGUCGGGUUGUUUGGGAUUGCAGCCCUAAAUAGGUGAUAGAUCUCAUCUAAAGCUAAAUAUUCCUGGGAGACCGAUAGCGAAGAAGUAGUGUGAACGAAAGGUGAAAAGAACUUUGAAAAGAAGGUGAAAAGUACUUGAAGCUGUUAUAAGGGAACCGCAUGGAACCAGUGAUUGCUUGUGGGUAAUUCAGUCAGUUGGUUGAAAGCAGUGUUGGACACACGAAGCUGUAUGGUUCGGAGUGCUGAGCUGCCCAGACGAGCUGGUGUAUUUUAUUCAUGAGCGUGUCAACAUCAGUGUGUUGUAACGGAGAAAGGUUAAGGAAAGGUAGGUCGUACUCUCGGGUAAGGCUGUUAUAGUCCUUGAUUGCAUACGUUAUGAUAGACUGAGGAAACAAAGCACAUGCCUCGGCGAGGUAACAGGCUGACCCAAGGUGAUGAACGUGUACGUCUGCUUGCAGGGUGCAUUUUCGAUUGUUUUGGCAUAGGUUUGUCCAUCUGUGUGCUAGGGAUGUUGACGAAAUGGUUUCAUACGACCCGUCUUGAAACACGGACCAAGGAGUCUAACAUGUAUGCGAGUAUUUGGGUGACAAACCCGCGUGCGGAAUGAAAGUGAGCGAUGUGAGGCCAAUUUAAGGGCUGCAACAUCGACCGACUGUAUUUAGAUACGGUUUGAGUCAGAGCACACAUGGUGGGACCCGAAAGAUGGUGAACUUUGCGUGCGCAGGGUGAAGCCAGAGGAAACUCUGGUGGAGGCUCGUAGAGAUACUGACGUGCAAAUCGUUCUUCUGACGUGCGUAAAGGGGCGAAAGACUAAUCGAACCAUCUAGUAGCUGGUUUACAC
rnacentral:misc_RNA from 1 species